UGUGACCUCAAAUCAGGUAGGACUACCCGCUGAACUUAAGCAUAUCAAUAAGCGGAGGAAAAGAAACUAACAAGGAUUCCCCUAGUAACUGCGAGUGAAGCGGGAAAAGCUCAAAUUUAAAAUCUGGCGGUCUUUUGGCUGUCCGAGUUGUAAUCUAGAGAAGUGUUAUCCGCGCUGGACCGUGUACAAGUCUCCUGGAAUGGAGCAUCAUAGAGGGUGAGAAUCCCGUCUUUGACAUGGACUGCCAGGGCUUUGUGAUGCGCUCUCAAAGAGUCGAGUUGUUUGGGAAUGCAGCUCAAAAUGGGUGGUAAAUUCCAUCUAAAGCUAAAUAUUGGCGAGAGACCGAUAGCGAACAAGUACCGUGAGGGAAAGAUGAAAAGAACUUUGGAAAGAGAGUUAAACAGUACGUGAAAUUGCUGAAAGGGAAACGCUUGAAGUCAGUUAUGUCGUCCAGGGAUCAACCUUGCUUUUGCUUGGUGCACUUUCUGGUUUGACAGGUCAGCAUCAAUUUUGACUAUUGGAAAAAGGCUUAGGGAAUGUGGCAUCUUUGGAUGUGUUAUAGCCCUUGGUCAUAUACAAUGGUUGGGAUUGAGGAACUCAGCACGCCGCAAGGCCGGG
rnacentral:rRNA from 1 species